rnacentral:tRNA from 1 species
UGGGGUAUCGCCAAAUGGUAAAGGCACAGCGCUUUGACCGCUGCAUGUGUUGGUUCGAAUCCAACUACCCCAG